AACGCGAAGAACCUUACCUGGAUUUGACAUCCUCGGACAGCCUUAGAGAUAAGGUCUCCCCUUCGGGGGCCGAGAGACAGGUGCUGCAUGGCUGUCGUCAGCUCGUAUCGUGAGAUGUCGGGUUAAGUCCCUUAACGAGCGCAACCCUUAUCCCUAGUUGCCAUUAUUAAGUUAGGCACUCUAUGGAGACUGCCGGUGUUAAACCGGAGGAAGGCGGGGAUGACGUCAAGUCCUCAUGGCCUUUAUAUCCAGGGCGACACACGUGCUACAAUGGCCGGUACAGAGGGUUGCCAACCCGCGAGGGGGAGCUAAUCUCAGAAAGCCGGUCUCAGUUCGGAUUGAAGUCUGCAAUUCGACUUCAUGAAGCUGGAAUCGCUAGUAAUCGCGGAUCAGAACGCCGCGGUGAAUACGUUCCCGGGCCUUGUACACACCGAGACGUA
rnacentral:rRNA from 1 species